rnacentral:rRNA from 1 species
UACAUGCAAGUCGAACGAUCCUUUCGGGGAUAGUGGCGCACGGGUGCGUAACGCGUGGGAAUCUGCCCUUGGGUUCGGAAUAACUUCGGGAAACUGAAGCUAAUACCGGAUGAUGACGAAAGUCCAAAGAUUUAUCGCCCAGGGAUGAGCCCGCGUAGGAUUAGCUAGUUGGUGGGGUAAAGGCCUACCAAGGCGACGAUCCUUAGCUGGUCUGAGAGGAUGAUCAGCCACACUGGGACUGAGACACGGCCCAGACUCCUACGGGAGGCAGCAGUAGGGAAUAUUGGACAAUGGGCGAAAGCCUGAUCCAGCAAUGCCGCGUGAGUGAUGAAGGGCUUAGGGUUGUAAAGCUCUUUUACCCGAGAUGAUAAUGACAGUAUCGGGAGAAUAAGCUCCGGCUAACUCCGUGCCAGCAGCCGCGGUAAUACGGAGGGAGCUAGCGUUGUUCGGAAUUACUGGGCGUAAAGCGCACGUAGGCGGCGAUUUAAGUCAGAGGUGAAAGCCCGGGGCUCAACCCCGGAACUGCCUUUGAGACUGGAUUGCUAGAAUCUUGGAGAGGCGAGUGGAAUUCCGAGUGUAGAGGUGAAAUUCGUAAAUAUUCGGAAAAACACCAGUGGCGAAAGGGGCUCGCUGGACAAGUAUUGACGCUGAAG